rnacentral:tRNA from 1 species
GGGCGCUUGGCACAGUGGUAGCGCGCAUGCUUUGCACUUGAUCUGCUUGCAUGAGGUCGAGGGUUCAAACCCCUCAGCGUCCA